rnacentral:rRNA from 1 species
GUGCACGCUGGCGGUAGGCCUCACCCCUGCAAGUCGAACGGCAGCACCGUAAGAGCUUGCUCUUACGGGUGGCGAGUGGCGGACGGGUGAGGAAUACAUCGGAAUCUACUUUUUCGUGGGGGAUAACGUAGGGAAACUUACGCUAAUACCGCAUACGACCUACGGGUGAAAGCAGGGGAUCUUCGGACCUUGCGCGAUUGAAUGAGCCGAUGUCGGAUUAGCUAGUUGGCGGGGUAAAGGCCCACCAAGGCGACGAUCCGUAGCUGGUCUGAGAGGAUGAUCAGCCACACUGGAACUGAGACACGGUCCAGACUCCUACGGGAGGCAGCAGUGGGGAAUAUUGGACAAUGGGCGCAAGCCUGAUCCAGCCAUACCGCGUGGGUGAAGAAGGCCUUCGGGUUGUAAAGCCCUUUUGUUGGGAAAGAAAAACAGCAGGUUAAUACCCCGCUGUUCUGACGGUACCCAAAGAAUAAGCACCGGCUAACUUCGUG